UACGUAGGGGGCGAGCGUUGUCCGGAAUUAUUGGGCGUAAAGGGCUCGUAGGCGGUUCGUCGCGUCGGGAGUGAAAACACCGGGCUUAACUCGGUGCUUGCUUUCGAUACGGGCAGACUGGAGGUAUGCAGGGGAGAACGGAAUUCCUGGUGUAGCGGUGAAAUGCGCAGAUAUCAGGAGGAACACCGGUGGCGAAGGCGGUUCUCUGGGCAUUACCUGACGCUGAGGAGCGAAAGUGUGGGGAGCGAACAGG
rnacentral:rRNA from 1 species